UGGGGAAUUUUCCGCAAUGGGCGAAAGCCUGACGGAGCAAUGCCGCGUGGAGGUGGAAGGCCUACGGGUCGUCAACGUUCUUUUCUCGGAGAAGAAACAUGACGGUAUCUGGGGAAUAAGCAUCGGCUAACUCUGUCCCAG
rnacentral:rRNA from 1 species